rnacentral:rRNA from 1 species
GGGCCCGCACAAGCAGCGGAGCAUGUUGCUUAAUUCGAGGCAACGCGAAGAACCUUACCUAGGCUUGACAUGUAUGGAAAAGCCGCAGAGAUGCGGUGUCCUUCGGGGUCAUACACAGGUGGUGCAUGGUUGUCGUCAGCUCGUGUCGUGAGAUGUUGGGUUAAGUCCCGCAACGAGCGCAACCCUUGUCCUAUGUUGCCAGCGGGUAAUGCCGGGGACUCGUAGGAGACUGCCGGGGUCAACUCGGAGGAAGGUGGGGACGACGUCAAAUCAUCAUGCCCCUUAUGUCUAGGGCUGCAAACAUGCUACAAUGGCCGGUACAAAGGGCUGCGAAACCGCGAGGUGGAGCGAAUCCCAUAAAGCCGGUCUCAGUUCGGAUUGGAGUCUGCAACUCGACUCCAUGAAGCUGGAGUUGCUAGUAAUCCCGGAUCAGCAACGCCGGGGUGAAUACGUUCCCGGGCCUU